GUAAUGGGGCUGAGGGGGGAAGGGGCGCUGACCCACGGGUGCCGUGUGCUCUCUCAGCCCUGUGAUGCUCCCCGUGCUCUGCGACAGCGUGGAGCCAAAGGAGGUUAUUGGGGCGGGAGGAAGCAUUUGUUCGACCCAUUUGUUCUUAUGGGGCUGCGUGCUGCAGGGGGUGCCGGCACAAUGGGAUGCUCUGCUGUGCAGCAUGGGUGGUGCUCGCUCUGCUCCCCAGUUUGCCCAGCGCUGAGUGUGGGAUGUGGCACAGUGUCCUGGGGGUGAAAUGAGCACUGAGGUCAUGAAGACAGCUGCACACCCGAGAUCCCUACAAGAGGAUUUGCUUUGUCUCCAUUGUAAUGCCCUUAUGGCAUCCAUGGAGCUGCGGGAGCUGACUUUGGGGCAGAGAGCUGAGCCUCCUCCUUAGCAGUGAACCCACACCUCUGCCCAUGCACAAAGCUGAGGCAGCCACAGGUUUUAAUCAUAAUUAACCACUGGAUGCCAUUAUUCAGCCAUCAGGUAGCAGCCCUGCCAAAGGGCACGGAAUGAAGGCCUGGGCAUUUCUCCCUCCCUUACAAUGCUCACAGCCUUCCUGUGGGCACAGACCCCCCUGGGGGUCCCCUCAGCCCCUUCCCUUUCCCUCAGUGCUGCAGUUCCCACCACUGCCCGCCCCAAUGCUGGGAUGCAUCCCUCAAUCCCAGUGCUCCCAUCAGCCCAACCCCUCAUUAAGCUGCUCACCCCCUCUGCAGUAAUUACUCCUAUUUAUAACUAACCUCACAGAGCCCCUGCCUGCCCCCCCCACCCCCCCUCCCCUUCCUCCCCUGCUGCUCUCGCUGACACAGAGCUAUUUUUACCCCUUUCCUCCCAGAGAUGCUCCUCUCCCACUUCCAGGCAUGGGAUUUCAAGCAGCUCCAUUGUCACCAUCACCCCCAGGGCCACCGUCACGGCCCCGCUGUGUCCCCAUGGAUGGGGCAAUGGGUGCAGGGGGGGGGUUGGGGAGACCUGCACAGAUGUGUUCCUAACGAUGGGAGGAAAUAGACCCGCCCUCUGUUUUGCCACCCGCAGCUUUGGAUGGGAUCGCUCCGUUGCAAAGGGGAAGCGCUGCUCUGAGCUCUGCCUUAAUGCCUCUCUGUGCCAUUCCAGUCGGGGUGGAAAUGCAGCCACUUCCCGGCUCCUGUUCUAAUGAGAUCAGUGCGCGCCCCUGGGAAAGGUGAGUGUGACACAGGUGGGACGUGGCUUUGCAUGAGCAGCUCCAUGCAUCCCAGCUGCAGGGUCUUCCGUGCAUGCCGUGCUCCAAGCAUCAGAGUCACUGGGCAACGCCGUGCAGCAGCAGGGCGGGCUCUGCAAAGGGAAUUGCAUCUGAACAGCGUUGCAUCUGAAUAGCGCUGCACCUGCAGAGUGUUGCAUCUGAACAGCAUUGCAUCUGAACAGCACGGUACCUGCACAGUAUUGCAUCUGCACAGUGUUACAUCCAAACAGCGUUGCACCUGAGCAACACAGUGCCUGCACAGUGUUUGCAUCUGAACAGCACAGUAUCUGCACAGCGUUGCAUCUGAAUAGCAUUGCACCUGCACAGUGUUGCAUCUGAACAGCAUUGCACCUGCUCAGCAUUGCAUCUGAACAACACAGUACCUACACAGCGUUGCAUCUGAACAGAACAGCACCUGCAUAUCAUUGCAUCUGAACAGCAUUGCGACUGCGUGGCACUGCAUCUGAAUAGCACUGCGCCUGCACUGCUUUGCACCUGCACGGUGUUGCACCUGCACUGCUUUGCACCUGCACAGUAAUGGCAUUGCACUUGCACAGAAGGAGAGGGAGAGAAAGCAGCCCUGGGAUCGGGACCUGCUGCUCACAGGGCCCCGCAGGGCUGUGCCCUCACUGUUUGCCCACAUCCCACCGAAAUCCCACGGGAUCGAUGGGGGUCGGCCGGGUGCACCGCCCCGAGGCCAUGGGAUCGAUGAGGAGUGAAGGAAAUGCGGCCGAAGAUGCGCGGUUUUACAGCUUCCUCCCCAAGAACGGCCGUGCUUUAUGGACUGCUGGUAAUUGCCAAUUAAUUGCGCUGCAGCCGAGGGCAGGAAAGCAG
ensembl:lncRNA